AACACUUGUGUGUGUUUGUUGAAUUGGUGGACAAAUACAAAAUGAGACACGAAUGCAAAGAUAAAUCUUCCAUGACCCAGUACUCAUUAUUCAGUAUAAUUUUUGAUACAUUUAAUAAAGAGUAUG
ensembl:snoRNA LOC120100464 small nucleolar RNA SNORA40